UAACGUUACCAAACUGUUGCCUCGGCAGGAUCUUCUGCCCCGGGUGCGUCGCAGCCCCGGACCAAGGCGCCCGCCGGAGGAAUCAACCAAAACUCUUAUUGUAUACCCCCUCGCGGGUUUUUUUUAUAAUCUGAGCCUUCUCGGCGCCUCUCGUAGGCGUUUCGAAAAUGAAUCAAACUUUCAACAACGGAUCUCUUGGUUCUGGCAUCGAUGAAGAACGCAGCGAAAUGCGAUAAGUAAUGUGAAUUGCAGAAUUCAGUGAAUCAUCGAAUCUUUGAACGCACAUUGCGCCCGCCAGUAUUCUGCCGGGCAUGCCUGUCCGAGCGUCAUUUCAACCCUCGAACCCCUCCGGGGGGUCGGCGUUGGGGAUCGGCCUUCCUUCACGGGGGCCGUCUCCGAAAUACAGUGGCGGUCUCGCCGCAGCCUCUCCUGCGCAGUAGUUUGCACACUCGCAUCGGGAGCGCGGCGCGUCCACAGCCGUUAAACACCCAACUUUCUGAAAUGUUGACCUCGGAUCAGGUAGGAAUACCCGCUGAACUU
rnacentral:rRNA from 1 species